rnacentral:lncRNA from 1 species
CUCUAGCUCUGAAGCCCCAGGAUCAGGUUUCUGCCCUGCAGCUUCUGGUCUACCUGAUGCCACCUUGCCACAGUGAUACCCUUGAACGUCUGCUGAAGGCACUGCAUAAAGUCACUGAGAACUGCGAGGACUCCAUUGGCCUUGAUGGACAGCUGGUAAAAGGUGCCCCCCCAUAUUCAGAAGCAGGUUGCUAAGCGUGUGUGGAAGUCCAGCCCUGAAGCCCUGGAUUUUAUCAGACGCCGCAAUCUGAGGAAGAUCCAGAGUGCUCGCAUAAAGAUGGAGGAGGACGCUUUACUUUCUGAUCCUGUGGACAACUCUGCCGAAGCCCAGGCUGCUAUCCUUGCUCAGAGCCAGCCCUUUGAUGAAG